rnacentral:rRNA from 1 species
GACGAACGCUGGCGGCGUGCCUAAUACAUGCAAGUCGAACGCAGUGGGGACGGGUGAGUAACACGUGGGUAACCUCCCAUCAGAGGGGAUAACACUUGGAAACAAGUGCUAAACCGAUAUUGGUGGAUGGACCCGCGUUGCAUUAGCUAGUUGGUGAGGUAACGGCUCACCAAGGCGACGAUGCAUAGCCGACCUAGGAGGGUGGUCGGCAACACUGGAACUUGGACACGGCCCAGACGACUACGGGAGGCAGCAGUAGGGAAUCUGCGGCAAUGGACGAAAGUCUGACCGAGCAACGCCGCGUGAGUGAAGAAGGUUUUCGGAUCGUAAAGCUCUGUUGUUAGAGAAGCGGUAUCGAACGAGAAAGCCACGGCUAACUACGUGCCAGCAGCCGCGGUAAUAC